GACGAACCGUACGAACGUUAUUCGGAAUCACUGGGCUUAAAGGGUGCGUAGGCGGCGCGACAAGUUGGGUGUGAAAUCCCUCGGCUCAACCGAGGAACUGCGCCCAAAACUGUCGUGCUCGAGGGAGACAGAGGUGAGCGGAACUUAGGGUGGAGCGGUGAAAUGCGUUGAUAUCCUAAGGAACACCGGUGGCGAAAGCGGCUCACUGGGUCUCUUCUGACGCUGAGGCACGAAAGCGUGGGGAGCAAACAGG
rnacentral:rRNA from 1 species